GAUGAACGCUAGCGGCAGGCCUAAUACAUGCAAGUCGAACGGUGUCUUCGGACAUAGUGGCGCACGGGUGCGUAACACGUAUGCAACCUACCUUACAUUGGGGGAUAGCCUUUCGAAAGGGAGAUUAAUACCGCAUGAGACAGUAGCUAGGCAUCCAGCAGCUGUUAAAGAUUUAUCGAUGUAAGCUGGGCAUGCGUCCAAUUAGCUAGUUGGUGAGGUAACGGCUCACCAAGGCAAUGAUUGGUAGGGGAACUGAGAGGUCAAUCCCCCACACUGGCACUGAGAGACGGGCCAGACUCCUACGGGAGGCAGCAGUAGGGAAUAUUGGGCAAUGGACGCAAGUCUGACCCAGCCAUGCCGCGUGCAGGAUGAAGGCGUUAUGCGUUGUAAACUGCUUUUAUACAGGAAGAAACGACUCUUGCGAGAGGCAUUGACGGUACUGUAUGAUUAAGCACCGGCUAACUCCGUGCCAGCAGCCGCGGUAAGAC
rnacentral:rRNA from 1 species